GACGAACGCUGGCGGCGUGCCUAAUACAUGCAAGUCGAACGCAGUGGGGACGGGUGAGUAACACGUGGGUCACCUCCCAUCAAAGGGGAUAACACUUGGAAACAGUUACUAAACCGAUACGGAUCGAGGGACCCUCGGUGCAUUAACUAGUUGGUGAGGUAACGGCUCACUAACGCCACGAUGAAUAGCCGACCUGAUAGGGUGAUCGGCCACACUGGGACUGAGACACGGCCCAGACUCCUACGGGAGGCAGCAGUAGGGAAUCUUCGGCAAUGGACGAAAGUCUGACCGAGCAACGCCGCGUGAGUGAAGAAGGUUUUCGGAUCGUAAAACUCUGUUGUUAGAGAAGCGGUAUCUAACCAGAAAGCCACGGCUAACUACGUGCCAGCCGCCGCGGUAAUAC
rnacentral:rRNA from 1 species